rnacentral:rRNA from 1 species
GAUCCUGGCUCAGAAUGAACGUUGGCGGCGUGGAUUAGGCAUGCAAGUCGAGCGAGAACCCGCAAGGGGGACAGCGGCAAACGGGGUAGAAUGGUCGGUAACGUACCCUUCGGACGGGGAUAGCCACGGGAAACUGUGGGUAAUACCCGAUAACCUCCUUUCUUGUAACGUCUCCGGACCAAAGGUGUGAUUCCACCUGGGGAGCGGCCUACAUCCUAUUAGCUAGUUGGCGAGGUAAUGGCUCACCAAGGCGAAGAUGGGUAGCAGGUGUGAGAGCGCGACCUGCGUCACUGGGACUGAGACACUGCCCAGACACCUACGGGUGGCUGCAGUCGAGAAUCUUCGGCAAUGGGCGAAAGCCUGACCGAGCGACGCCGCGUGUGGGAUGAAGGCCUUCGGGUUGUAAACCACUGUCGGAGGGGAUGAAGUGUUAGUGGGUUCUCCCAUUAACUUGACUGAUCCUCGGAGGAAGGGUGGGCUAAGUUCGUG